UGGGGAAUUUUCCGCAAUGGGCGAAAGCCUGACGGAGCAAUACCGCGUGAGGGAAGAAUGCCUGAGGGUUGUAAACCUCUUUUAUUAGGAAAGAAAAAAUGACGGUACCUAAAGAAUAAGCAUCGGCUAACUCCGUGCCAGCAGCCGCGGUAAUACGGGGGAUGCAAGCGUUAUCCGGAAUCACUGGGCGUAAAGAGUCUGUAGGUGGCCUGUUAAGUCUGUUGUUAAAGCUUGAAGCUUAACUUCAAAUAAGCGAUGGAAACUGACAAGCUAGAGUAUGGUAGGGGUAAAGGGAAUUCCCAGUGUAGCGGUGAAAUGCGUAGAUAUUGGGAAGAACACCAGUGGCGAAAGCGCUUUACUGGGCCAUAACUGACACUCAGAGACGAAAGCUAAGGAAGCAAAUGGGAUUAGAUACCCGCGUAGUCC
rnacentral:rRNA from 1 species